AGGACGAACGCUGGCGGCGUGCCUAAUACAUGCAAGUCGAACGGUCUUUCUAUGGAAGCUUGCUUCCACUGAGAAGAUAGUGGCGAACGGGUGAGUAACACGUGGGUAACCUGCCCAUAAGAGGGGGAUAACAUCCGGAAACGGGUGCUAAUACCGCAUAGUUUUCUUGAUCGCAUGAUUGAGAAAGGAAAGACGGCCUUUGUGCUGUCGCUUAUGGAUGGACCCGCGGCGUAUUAGUUAGUUGGUGAGGUAACGGCUCACCAAGACGAUGAUACGUAGCCGACCUGAGAGGGUGAUCGGCCACAUUGGGACUGAGACACGGCCCAAACUCCUACGGGAGGCAGCAGUAGGGAAUCUUCCGCAAUGGACGAAAGUCUGACGGAGCAACGCCGCGUGAGUGAAGAAAAGGUUUUUCGGAUCGUAAAACUCUGUUGUCAGAGAAGAACAAGUUGGAGAGUAACUGCUCCAGCCUUGACGGUAUCUGACCAGAAAGCCACGGCUAACUACGUGCCAGCAGCCGC
rnacentral:rRNA from 1 species